rnacentral:rRNA from 1 species
GACGGGGCCGCACAAGCGGAGGAGCAUGUGGUUAAUUCGAUGAUACGCGAGGAACCUUACCUGGGCUCGAACGUAAGAUGACUGUAGGUGAAAGCUUACAUCUCUUCGGAGCAUUUUACGAGGUGCUGCAUGGUUGUCGUCAGCUCGUGCCGUGAGGUGUCGGGUUAAGUCCCAUAACGAGCGCAACCCUACCUUUAGUUGCCAUCAGGUAAUGCUGGGGACUCUAAAGGAACUGCCUACGCAAGUAGUGAGGAAGGCGGGGAUGACGUCAAAUCAGCACGGCCCUUACGUCCAGGGCUACACACGUGCUACAAUGGCCGAUACAGAGGGCAGCUACCUGGUGACAGGAUGCAAAUCUCCAAAGUCGGUCUCAGUUCGGAUCGGAGUCUGCAACCCGACUCCGUGAAGUUGGAUUCGCUAGUAAUCGCGCAUCAGCCAUGGCGCGGUGAAUACGUUCCCGGGCCUU